rnacentral:rRNA from 1 species
GACGAACGCUGGCGGCGUGCCUAAUACAUGCAAGUAGAACGCUGAAGGAGGAGCUUGCUUCUCUGGAUGAGUUGCGAACGGGUGAGUAACGCGUAGGUAACCUGCCUGGUAGCGGGGGAUAACUAUUGGAAACGAUAGCUAAUACCGCAUAAGAGUAGAUGUUGCAUGACAUUUGCUUAAAAGGUGCAAUUGCAUCACUACCAGAUGGACCUGCGUUGUAUUAGCUAGUUGGUGGGGUAACGGCUCACCAAGGCGACGAUACAUAGCCGACCUGAGAGGGUGAUCGGCCACACUGGGACUGAGACACGGCCCAGACUCCUACGGGAGGCAGCAGUAGGGAAUCUUCGGCAAUGGACGGAAGUCUGACCGAGCAACGCCGCGUGAGUGAAGAAGGUUUUCGGAUCGUAAAGCUCUGUUGUAAGAGAAGAACGAGUGUGAGAGUGGAAAGUUCACACUGUGACGGUAUCUUACCAGAAAGGGACGGCUAACUACGUGCCAGCAGCCGCGGUAAUACGUAGGUGGCAAGCGUUAUCCGGAUUUAUUGGGCGUAAAGAGAGUGCAGGCGGUUUUCUAAGUCUGAUGUGAAAGCCUUCGGCUUAACCGGAGAAGUGCAUCGGAAACUGGAUAACUUGAGUGCAGAAGAGGGUAGUGGAACUCCAUGUGUAGCGGUGGAAUGCGUAGAUAUAUGGAAGAACACCAGUGGCGAAGGCGGCUACCUGGUCUGCAACUGACGCUGAGACUCGAGAGCAUGGGUAGCGAACAGG